CGCUCCAUCCCAAACACACACACAUUUUUCCCCCGGACUUGGAAAGUCACCCAAAGCCGCCCCAAGUGCAGGCAAACAGACCUCGCUGAGAGAAGGCAAAGACCCUCUCCAUCCCACCUGCCCUUCCAGCUGCCACAGACAUCGACCCCUCCUUUACCAGGUGGUCCUGCAACUCCCCAGUGGUGCACAUUGGAAUGGACUUUGGACCCCGGUCUCUUGGGAUGCAAAGGAUGAAGUGACACCCCCAGCUGCAAGAGAGGAGCCUCUAGGACCUGCUAAGAG